AGGUUGAAAGCAUCUGACAAGCAUCAACUAAUUAUGCUAUUUAGAAUAAAACUGAGUGGGGCUCAUCUACAUAGCUAUAGACAAGCUAGUUACUCUUGUCUCCCUUUCAGUCAAAUGGCAUCUGGGCAAUAUAGACACGAGAGUCUAGGGCACUGUUCAUCUCACCCUAAAGCAGCCACCUAAAAUAGGUCAGAUAUCUGUAACCCAAAAACUUAUUUUUCUCUCUACAGACUGUAAACUGAGUCUACUCUUAACUGUAACCAUAGGACAAUUUAGAUAGACAAACCUGAGUGAGAAUAAUUCUGUGUCCUGUAUCAAUUAUAUUCAGCUCAGUUAUAUCCAGCUAAGAAAGCAACAGUUUCAAGAAUUUAAAUGGCCUGGAGAAGGAAUAAGAAAUUUCAGAUGUACAACAGAAUAUAGCCCAACAAGUAUUCCUGAGCAAUACGCUUCUCCUGUUAAAUUCAGCAAAUGGAUUGAAUAUUUGCUGUUCUUACUGUGAUUAUUAGUUUCUAACAGACCUGUUUGCUCAACUCCUCAGGGGUUUUGUUUCACGUUACAAAUGAUGAUCCUAGUCUCUUCACACCAAAAUACUGAUAACAUUAGCUGUUUUAACUGUCCAUCAAAUGUGAUCUGAUGGUCAAAACUGAUAGUCCCUAUACUCUUCCAAACUAAAUCAUUGUCGUUGUUGUAUUUUGUGCCAUUCAAAUAUCCUGCAUAUCUGCUUCUUUUACAAGAAAUCAUGUUCAUUUUUUAGGGGGGAAAAAAAAAUCUACUUACGAAGAGGAGUCAUGAAGAAGCAGCUGACAUGUGUUGCUUUACAUCUGCCACAGGAUUGAAAUCUUUCAGGCAGGAAAUAUAACCAUCUGAAAGUCUGGAUGACAAACAGCAUCACAACAGCAGACACGGGGCUCAAUGUUUACCAUUUCACCUGGGACUAGCAGUAGAGCAGAAGCCUGCACCCUGUCAUCCCUCUGCAGAAUGCUGAAUCACAACCCUGGGCUGAUCCCUCUUCCCAGCUCUACUUGCCGCUCAUUCCUGGAACACUCCCUAUACCCCACGGAAAUUCAUUUCCUUGCAUGAUUCAUAAAUUCCUUUAUAACCAUAUAGGGCUUUGGUGCCAUUAUGUGCAUUUUUUCCUUUUUAAUUUGGGCCAACUUCCUCAUUUUUUAUCAACUUGAAUUUUGCAGUCCCUGUUGUGGUAUUUUUCCAUUCUGCUAGCAUUGAAAAGAUAAGGAAAUAUAUAUGAGUGAACACAUUAUGUAUGUAGCUUGAUUUUAUAGAAAUGAAUUUAUUGCUAGAAAAGGUGCCAGAACUGGCAGUCAUGCCAUCUGAAGCCCUUCAUUCCCCGUCAGAGCAAGCAAUAUAAAGAUUAAAUGCUCUGUAAUAAUGAAGUGCAAGCUCCCUCUAAACACCUCUCAAUUUGGUCUCAAUGUUGGACCUUUGAUGAAGAAAGAGAUCACACCAUGAGUAAGAGUUAAGAAUAACUGGUAGGAAUGCCAAGGGAGAAAGGCACAUUUUGAGUACAAAUCACAGAAUUUACCUUACAAAGAAUACAAGCCCAAUCCCUAGAAGUGCUGGAGAUUUGUGAACUGAAUGUUGAAUUCAUCUUUCUUCAAACAUUGGGUAAAAUACACAUAAUUACUAAAACAAUCUCAUGUGAGAUAGGGGAAUAAAAAAACUGUAAAAAGCAGAAAAAAAGAAAAUGGACAGUCUACUGGUCUGUCUGCGAUGUUUGCUGAUGAAAGUGUUACCUCAGAUAAUGAUGCCUUCUGAGGAAACAGGCUGAAACUCCCAUGCCAUUUGACAUUAAAUGUCAAGAAACCAUCCACUGGACCAGUUUCUCAUACUCAUCAUUCUGCUUUGCAUUUCACUUGCUGCCAUUUGGUCCUCAGAAAUCACCCACUGAACAUUUGCCUUUGAAGCGCUCCACCUUCUCCUGUGUGGCAUGAGUGACUUCUUGGGUCUCUCUCAAUUCUCCACAGACAGCUUAUGAAAUCUGCAAGUUCCUUUUUUUUUGUGCGUGUGUAAGUGUGUGUGUGUCUGUGUGUGUAGAACUGCUGCAACAUUUUAUGUUCAAGCCAGCAACCUUGGAGGGAAAGGACUGCAGUUCUAAUAGCAAACACAACAAUGAUGGACAAAUGCUCCGAGUAUGGCAAAUCUGCAUUCAACCCAUUUCACACACAGAGGAGAUACUUCAUACCCUGUAGACACUCAUUAUCUCAGACUUUCUUUAGGUAGGCUUUCUUUUUUCUUUUACUAUAUUUGAUUCACAAUGUACUAAACACUGGAGAAUUAUGCAGGAUUACAGUUUAUUGCAGCUCACAGCACAGUCUUGGACUCUCUGGAAAGUUUUCUCCGUCACCUAAGAUCAGUCACCACUUUUUGUGAAGGUCACUGUAUUUUAUAUUCAGUGUUUCUAUUAGACUCCCAGUCAAACAGUUUUGUUGCAUCUGGCUGGCAGUUAUGAUUGCAUUAUUUGAUAAAUCACUCAUAAAUCCUUUCUGUUAUGUUUGUGGUCCCUUUCAAGCAAGAGAACAUUCAUUGCUGAAUUCAGGGUUAUAAAGAUCAGAAAUUCCAUAAGAAAAAAAUAACACAAAUGUUAUAUUGCCAUUCUUAGGGAUAUAGCUGCUAAAUAUUUCUUUAAUGGAUUCUAGUGGAAAUAGUUUUUUACUUUUUGAAAGAAAGUCCAUUCUGCCUACUGUGCCUACUGUCUGGGUUAUCAUUUGAGAUAGUUUGCAGACCAUGAUAACUUCAAUAUAGUUUGGAUGAAUUCAUGGCACUGAAUAUUCAUACGGCAUAUGAUACAGACACUGAACCCAAUUUAGUAAAUGAAUACUUGUAAUUUCACCAAAGCCCCUCUGAGAGAUUAUUAUGCAGAUUUAUGAAGGAAUAUUGCUGAAGCAAUUCUUGGCUGUGUUUUCAGUCACUGAGGACUUAAAGUAUGUAAACCUAAAAUAAUUUCAGGCUUAUUUACUGUCACUGCUUUAAUCUUCUGAACUUUUCUGACAUUAUUUCUCUCACUGAUUUGUAUUAAGUAUCCCCUCCCUGUCCUUGGCCUUGAGCAAAGAGCCAGCAUCACAACACCUACAAGUGUUGCCAAGUUACUCCCAACAAUAUCCUUGCUGCCAUAAUGCCAGAAAUCUGUUCUAAUCCUGCUGUUGCAAAAUUGCAUUACAGGCAGGGGGAUGUAUGGACAUGGGCAUGUGGGUAGUAUCACUGACCUGGAAAUACAGAGAUCAAUACACAAUCAGAUUGUGAGCAGACUCCCGCAGCUCUUCUGUGUGAUGAAGAUUACCUCACUAUUUUGGGACCAUCCACCUCGUAAAAGAAAGAAUAAUCAGGCUAAGAAACAGUGGAGAUACUUGACCCAAUAGUAUAUUACAGCCCUUUAAAAUUCAGUAGGUGUGCUGUAUGUUGUUCUCCAAGUUGCCAAUUUUACAAGCAGCAUCUUUUUUUCAAGUGUCACAAACACACGUAUUUCUGCAGCACCCUCCAAGACCCACUGUAUCACCUUCAACUUCAUCCCUUUGGGUGUCAGAAAGAAAACGUAUAGCUACUUGCUAAAUGUCUCUUAAAAUAACAUCCGGCAUUAAAAUAACAUUCUCCAGCAUUGCUACCAAAAAUAAUAAUUAAGGAAAUAGAUCAGUAUCCCUCCCUGUAGCCAGUGUUACCUCUCCUGCCCCAGUCAUUAAGGGAAUUACUCACCCCUGGACUAGCUCAGUUUGUGAAUGGGCAUAGAGCCAGAUCCUGAAUCCUUAUUCAAAGAGCAUCAUUCAUUCCCCAGUCACAGGAAUCCUAGCUUACAUGAGAUGACAUGUGUAAAGUCUUUAGGAUGUGGCCCACAGUCUUCAGGAGGCGACAGCAGUAGUUAGAUUUUAGUGUGCUGUAAAUACCAUGCCUCUUCUCAGUUACAUUUCUUGGUAUACAAUAUAGUAACAUAUGCCACAUGGAAGUGAAUUGUAAAGGCCAACUUCUGCUCUUGGAUUCAGAUCUCCUUGACUUGCAGAGCAAGGGAGCCUGGUGACACCUGCAAGCAGUAAGUAACCAUGGCAAAGACUCCAUGGGGGAGCUGAGGGACAGAUCAGCAGAGGGUUUCUGGAGGUUUCUUGUGCUUCAUGUAAAUUGUCACACUGUGGCUUCUUUUAGCCAUGUUUUGUGUGGUGAGCAUGCACAUGGACAUCUUGAAGUCCUUUUAUAUAUCAUUAUGGAGUAGAAUAAGGCAAGUGAAGCCUUCAAAUCAAGAGGCUAGAAAAUCUGUGUGCCAGAGAGACAUAGCAAUAAAACAAAAGAGAUGGAGACAGAUGAUGAUGGGAAAGACUAAUAGAGCUAGUGCAAAGCACUUAUAUUUAUUUCCUUUUUUUAAAAAAAAAAAUAGUUUAUGAAUUUAUUUCAAGAUGUUUUCUUGUUUCAUUCUUCUCCAUUUUUCUUUCCAUUUCUUAUUUUUUCUUUGAUUCAUUUUCUGUCUUCAUUCCCUGAUCCUCUGUCUUUUUGUUCCUGUUACACUGUUCUUGAUCACCUGUCAAGUUAGAUUUGGGAAGAAGGAACUAUCUUCGAAAAUGUCAAAGAGUAACUGUGAAAAGACACAUAUUUGCACACUCUACAGGAAAUGUGUUCGACUCUACACAGAUAGAAUCUAAGAUACUGAGGUACAGAAAAGUAAUUAAAGAAAUCCUCCUCCUUUCUGCUCUGCAAUCACUGAACUAUCACUAUGACAAGUAAAGCAUGAGAUGGUUGAAAUUUAAGGAUGGACCCAACUGCUCAGCAUUGUAUGAAUGAAAAUAAUGAAAGCCAAGUCACAAUUUUUGGAGAGUGAGUCAUGGCUGCAAUGGACUUGACUAGACCAAUAGAUUUCACAUUUUCUUACUGUCAGGAAAUUCCACUUCACUUGCUGCAACCCUUCAAUAGGACCAAUAAGCAUUGCAAGGGUUGAAAGGUUAGAGAGGAGCUUCCCUCACGUGCUUCUGGGCCCUUAUCACCUUCUAAACAGAAUCAGUCAAAGUUCUGUGAACUGCAACAAGCAACACUACGGUUAACAUCUCAUUGCAAGGAGCUGAUGAUUUGUUCUGUAAAACAUCACCCCAAUCUUCUCUCGGGUGCCUUUUCCAAUACCCAUCUUGGAUAAAAAUACAAGGUUUGCAACAUCUGAAGGUAGAACUGACUGCGUCUGACUCACAACCCGCUUGGCUUGAGGAUCACAUGAUUUGUGGGUGCUAAUAAGCAGGAAUUUGAGGUGAUUCUCUCAGUAAGUUCAUUGCCUGGACUCCACCUGCUAGCUAUGAGGACAGACACCAUUUUGGAGCAUUUAGAAAGCUGGGCAUGGUGGGCAGAGUCUGGGAAGGCAGAGGUUUUUCAAAAUCAUGUAAAGAAUUUCAGUAGAACUCCAAUAUAAUUUCUCUACAUUUGUAAUGCAGCACUUUCAUGAAGUGUGGUCAAACAUUUAAAAUAUAGUAAUCCCAAGCAACAAUGAGAAGAUUGCAUUUAUUUACAGUAAAGCUCAUGCCUUACGGAUGCCAGCCUUCUAACUCCUGCUACAACCUGCUUUCCAGAUGCUCUUCAAAUGGACCAUGGAUAUUUUUGUCAAUGUCUUCUCCUCUAGAAAUUUACAGAAGGAAUUAUUAAGCUUAUACACUGGCUGAAUUUUUGGGGAGAUAUUCGUUUUACAGGACGUUAUUCUUGGCUCACAACACCAAGCUACAUUGGAGUUGCAACAGUCCACACAAUCGUAAGCCAAUGCUCAGCUCCAUCCAUCAUCUUCCAGGAACUCAAAUAGCUUCCCUGUGUGUGGUUUCCGACCUGAGCCAGCUCUGAACUAGGGGAGAGGCCUGGUGGAUGCUGUCUAUAGCCAACCACCCCUGCCAGCCACGUGUCCCAGCUAACGUGGUCAGAAUACAAGGCCUAGCCAAAGUUCUGCUGAUUCCUAAGCAGACUGGUGAACUCCAGCCCUGGAGCUGGUUCUUGCUUUAGCAAAGACUAAAGGAAAAUUGUUGGUAAUGUUCUGAAAGUGAAAGCUACAUUUUUGUUUGAAUAUGCACACAAUAGGAGGCAAUGAAGGAGGAAAUUCCAGCUACAGUACAUUUACAGUAAGUACGAAAUUGGUCUGCCCCCAGUAACUCAUCCAGCUCAAUAAAGUAAACCCCGCAAGCUGUCAUGCACAGGGAGUGUAGAAAUUAGAGAAAAAGAAAACACAAGAGCAUCCAAAGUCUACUUUCCUUCCACCAUUCAUUUCUAUCCAGUGAUCAUUUUAUGAUCUCCUUAAUUUCCGGGUUCAUUCAUCUACCAAAGCAGAACAAACCUUUUGCUCUUCAUUGAGGUCAGUCUGAAAGCUCUACUGUAUUGUCUGGCAUGAUGCAUGUAUACCCAAAGUAGGUAUUGUUUCAGAUGGUUUCAGUAAUGACAAACCAUAGAAUAUUAGCUGUACUUUUAAUUUUAAUGAGGUGCUUCUGUAAUGAAGACAGAAGCUUCAAUACACCACAGCAGUUUUGUAUCUAAUAAGUAUCUUCUUUCUAAAAACAAACAAACAAACAAAAACAACAACAACAAAAAACUCUUUGAGAAUUGAAAAACAAGUCUGAGGCAUCAUAUAUACGCAAAAUGUGUUACUAUAGAUUUCUUGGCAGUGUUUGUGAUAAAAAUGUAGCUUUCCUUUUGCCCAAAAGACGAAAAAGGAAAAAAUUGCAUGCAAACAUACUUCUAGAUAGAAAAGGUGCAGUCACAGUCUUGCCUGGGUCAUACAAUACCCACUGAGAUCUGUCCUAACUGAGGGUUUUACAGACCCUUUUGUUUGUAAAAAAUCUUUCUCAGACAAAUAAUGUGCUUUCUAGCGGAAACUCUCAAGGCUCUAGAACAUGCAAGCCUAACGCUCGCUCCUUUCCAUGAAAACUUCAGAGUGUGGAAAAAAAAUCAGUUAAUCAAAAAUUUAUGAAAAGUGGAAAUAGUAAUGUGAAUACAGCUGCAGGAAAUUCAUUUUAUAAUCUGAAUAGCUGCUCAAGAUUUUCUUAAUAAUAACCACCUAGUUUUAAUGGGGACAUUUUCAUAUUGCUCAUUCUAUAUUCCUGAAUAACCAUCUGAUACUUUGUUUGUUAGAAGUACUUGCGAUAUCAUUUAAAUGAAGCAAACCCCUUCAUUUUCUUUAUUUUUCAUCUCAACAAGAUUUGCCUUUUUUGACUCUGAAAAGCCUGUACACUUCUGCUAGUCAAUCCUCUCAAAAUGCUGUGUGAAGAUGUUCAGUAAAUCCCAAAUACACCUUACUAUCCCACUAACGCCAUCCAUCAUUGGUUGCUCUCCAAUAUCAAUCUUCUCCUGUCUCUAUUUGCACUUGGUACCAGAAGGAGCUUCGAGAAGGUGACCCGCAUGACUCCUAUCUUAAGCUAUCUGCUGUGGUCUCUGAAGUGAUUCAUGAUCAUAUCAAAUCUAUUUCCCCGGUGCUGUUUUGUCCUUAAGGCUUCGGCAAUUGCAGAGUCUGACUAGAGACUCCAAUCAACCAUCUGCUGUCUGCCAACUGUGGUGUCUAGUCAGGUUAUGCUGAAUGCAAAGAGAAAUGUGUUUUGUAUUUGAUGGUUAAUACACUCAUCUCUUCCCAUGGUCCAAGCAGAAUAUUAAGCAGUUGCAACUCUAAAUGGCUGGGAUGGCAGCAGAAGAAAACCUUAGUUUUAGAAAGAAUAUUUAAAGUCAGCUUUAAAGCUUGUCUGAAUGGAAGUGCUAGUAUUAAUAUAGUGUACACAGCAGCUUUCUACUAGCAAAGAAGGGAUUUAAUCAGUGACAGGACUUUUUCCAUCAGUUCUUUCUAGAAUUUUAUGAGCUGUUUAUAAUUGUAAUUUGCCUAUUUAUAUAUUAUUAGAACGUUGUUCACUUUUUUUCUUUAAACUCUGCUUGUCCCCCAAAUGAUACAAAAUAAAUACUAGAAGUCUGAAAAACUUAUUAUAUUCCUUUUGUCAAAUAUUUUUCAGAGCAGGCUGCGUCAAUCUGUGCCUUGCAUAGGUGUUUUACUCUGUGUGUUUUGAGAUGAACCUUCCUCUCUAGAUCUCUUCCCUUCUCCACUCCCAAGGAUACCACACCACUGGAAAUAUGGAUGCUUUUGCCAGACCCAGUCUUACUACAUUACUGCCACAUGAAAAGUCCUAUUAAUUGUAAGCCCUUAAUAAUAAGCUUCUUACUUAGCUGGUUUCCUUCUACCAUGACAAGUUUUAUCAAAGGCUUGCACAAUCACAGCAGCCAGGUACCUGAAGUGGCCAUUUCAGGAAUUAUUUUUCAAAGGUGGCAACUCUAUCUGCCUUGGUUCUGUGUUCUUCUAGCCAGAAGGCACUAAGGGCACGUCCUUCAUGGUAUUUUGGCACCUCAGUGUCCCAUCCUUGAACACCAGAAGCAGUCACUGUGUCCUUGAGCUGCAAUUUUAAUAAUAGCACUUGCUUCUGAGUUAUGUGCAUCAGCUGUUCACUGGCUGAUUUGAUUGGUAAUAUUGCCCAUGGGCUUGAAACUGGCCAGGAAAG